GACGAACGCUGGCGGCGUGCCUAAUACAUGCAAGUCGAACGAACUCUGGUAUUGAUUGGUGCUUGCAUCAUGAUUUACAUUUGAGUGAGUGGCGAACUGGUGAGUAACACGUGGGAAACCUGCCCAGAAGCGGGGGAUAACACCUGGAAACAGAUGCUAAUACCGCAUAACAACUUGGACCGCAUGGUCCGAGCUUGAAAGAUGGCUUCGGCUAUCACUUUUGGAUGGUCCCGCGGCGUAUUAGCUAGAUGGUGGGGUAACGGCUCACCAUGGCAAUGAUACGUAGCCGACCUGAGAGGGUAAUCGGCCACAUUGGGACUGAGACACGGCCCAAACUCCUACGGGAGGCAGCAGUAGGGAAUCUUCCACAAUGGACGAAAGUCUGAUGGAGCAACGCCGCGUGAGUGAAGAAGGGUUUCGGCUCGUAAAACUCUGUUGUUAAAGAAGAACAUAUCUGAGAGUAACUGUUCAGGUAUUGACGGUAUUUAACCAGAAAGCCACGGCUAACUACGUGCCAGCAGCCGCGGUAAUACGUAGGUGGCAAGCGUUGUCCGGAUUUAUUGGGCGUAAAGCGAGCGCAGGCGGUUUUUUAAGUCUGAUGUGAAAGCCUUCGGCUCAACCGAAGAAGUGCAUCGGAAACUGGGAAACUUGAGUGCAGAAGAGGACAGUGGAACUCCAUGUGUAGCGGUGAAAUGCGUAGAUAUAUGGAAGAACACCAGUGGCGAAGGCGGCUGUCUGGUCUGUAACUGACGCUGAGGCUCGAAAGUAUGGGUAGCAAACAGGAUUAGAUACCCUGGUAGUCCAUACCGUAAACGAUGAAUGCUAAGUGUUGGAGGGUUUCCGCCCUUCAGUGCUGCAGCUAACGCAUUAAGCAUUCCGCCUGGGGAGUACGGCCGCAAGGCUGAAACUCAAAGGAAUUGACGGGGGCCCGCACAAGCGGUGGAGCAUGUGGUUUAAUUCGAAGCUACGCGAAGAACCUUACCAGGUCUUGACAUACUAUGCAAAUCUAAGAGAUUAGACGUUCCCUUCGGGGACAUGGAUACAGGUGGUGCAUGGUUGUCGUCAGCUCGUGUCGUGAGAUGUUGGGUUAAGUCCCGCAACGAGCGCAACCCUUAUUAUCAGUUGCCAGCAUUAAGUUGGGCACUCUGGUGAGACUGCCGGUGACAAACCGGAGGAAGGUGGGGAUGACGUCAAAUCAUCAUGCCCCUUAUGACCUGGGCUACACACGUGCUACAAUGGAUGGUACAACGAGUUGCGAACUCGUGAGAGUAAGCUAAUCUCUUAAAGCCAUUCUCAGUUCGGAUUGUAGGCUGCAACUCGCCUACAUGAAGUCGGAAUCGCUAGUAAUCGCGGAUCAGCAUGCCGCGGUGAAUACGUUCCCGGGCCUUGUACACACCGCCCGUCACACCAUGAGAGUUUGUAACACCCAAAGUCGGUGGGGUAACCUUUUAGGAACCAGCCGCCUAAGGUGGGACAGAUGAUUAGGGUG
rnacentral:rRNA from 2 species